rnacentral:rRNA from 1 species
GACAGAGGAUGCAAGCGUUAUCCGGAAUCAUUGGGCGUAAAGCGUCUGUAGGUGGCUUUUUAAGUCUGCCGUCAAAUCCCAGGGCUUAACCCUGGACAGGCGGUGGAAACUACCAAGCUGGAGUACGGUAGGGGCAGGGGGAAUUUCCGGUGGAGCGGUGAAAUGCGUAGAGAUCGGAAAGAACACCAACGGCGAAAGCACUCUGCUGGGCCGACACUGACACUGAGAGACGAAAGCUAGGGGAGCGAAUGGG